rnacentral:rRNA from 1 species
GAUGAACGCUGGCGGCGUGCCUAAUACAUGCAAGUCGAGCGAACGGACGAGAAGCUUGCUUCUCUGAUGUUAGCGGCGGACGGGUGAGUAACACGUGGAUAACCUACCUAUAAGACUGGGAUAACUUCGGGAAACCGUAGCUAAUACCGGAUAAUAUUUUGAACCGCAUGGUCCAAAAGUGAAAGACGGUCUUGCUGUCACUUAUAGAUGGAUCCGCGCUGCAUUAGCUAGUUGGUAAGGUAACGGCUUACCAAGGCAACGAUGCAUAGCCGACCUGAGAGGGUGAUCGGCCACACUGGAACUGAGACACGGUCCAGACUCCUACGGGAGGCAGCAGUAGGGAAUCUUCCGCAAUGGGCGAAAGCCUGACGGAGCAACGCCGCGUGAGUGAUGAAGGUCUUCGGAUCGUAAAACUCUGUUAUUAGGGAAGAACAUAUGUGUAAGUAACUGUGCACAUCUUGACGGUACCUAAUCAGAAAGCCACGGCUAACUACGUG